AAAAAGACAAACCCUAAGUUUCCGUACCAACGUUUGACUAUCCGUCUUAUAUGAAAUUUUUUUAUAAUUAGUAUUUUCAUUGUUAUUAGAUGAUAAAACAUGAUUAAUACUUUAUGCGUGAUUUAUCUUUUUAAUUUUUUUUCAUAAUUUUUUCAAAUAAGACGGACAGUCAAACAUUGGACAUGGAAACCAGAGUUUGUCUUUUUU
rfam:Oryza glumipatula chromosome 1, whole genome shotgun sequence.